GGCUCCCUAGCUCAGUGGUUAAAGAAGUAGUCUUGUAAACCAAAGGGUUGCAAGUUCAAUUCUCAUGGGAGCUU